rnacentral:rRNA from 1 species
GAUGAACGCUGGCGGCGUGCCUAAUACAUGCAAGUCGAGCGAACAGACGAGGAGCUUGCUCCUCUGACGUUAGCGGCGGACGGGUGAGUAACACGUGGAUAACCUACCUAUAAGACUGGGAUAACUUCGGGAAACCGGAGCUAAUACCGGAUAAUAUAUUGAACCGCAUGGUUCAAUAGUGAAAGACGGGUUUGCUGUCACUUAUAGAUGGAUCCGCGCCGCAUUAGCUAGUUGGUAAGGUAACGGCUUACCAAGGCAACGAUGCGUAGCCGACCUGAGAGGGUGAUCGGCCACACUGGAACUGAGACACGGUCCAGACUCCUACGGGAGGCAGCAGUAGGGAAUCUUCCGCAAUGGGCGAAAGCCUGACGGAGCAACGCCGCGUGAGUGAUGAAGGUCUUCGGAUCGUAAAACUCUGUUAUUAGGGAAGAACAAAUGUGUAAGUAACUAUGCACGUCUUGACGGUACCUAAUCAGAAAGCAACGGCUAACUACGUG